rnacentral:rRNA from 1 species
AUUGAACGCUGGCGGCAUGCCUUACACAUGCAAGUCGAACGGCAGCACGGGGGCAACCCUGGUGGCGAGUGGCGAACGGGUGAGUAAUACAUCGGAACGUGCCCGAUAGUGGGGGAUAGCUCGGCGAAAGCCGGAUUAAUACCGCAUACGACCUACGGGUGAAAGCGGGGGAUCGCAAGACCUCGCGCUAUCAGAGCGGCCGAUGUCAGAUUAGGUUGUUGGUGGGGUAAAGCCACCAAGCCGACGAUCUGUAGCUGGUCUGAGAGGACGACCAGCCACACUGGGACUGAGACACGGCCCAGACUCCUACGGGAGGCAGCAGGUGGGGAAUUUUGGACAAGUGGGACGAAAGCCUGAUCCAGCCAUGCCGCGUGCGGGAAGAAGGCCU